rnacentral:ncRNA from 1 species
GGUCCGCAGUUCACCCAGGCGCCACCGGCCCAGACGGGCAGCUAGACCUGC